AACAUUUUUAUAUUUUUUAGUGUGCAAUAUAAAAUUAUCCUGACUUUUGGUCAUACUGUUUCAUUUUGUGUGUGAAUUUUAAACCCCCACCCCGAAAAAAUAUCCUGAGUGCGCCACUGGUAGGAUUAAUAUGUAAAAGCGCGGUCCGCGGGUUAAAUCGAGCCCGCGUUAUGCAUUCUAGGGGUUAACUCGAGUCGCGCGGCGGCGGCUACUUCACAAUUUUCUACGCGACGCACGCACGGCGGCGCUCCGCAAAUUUAUUCGUAAGAGUGUACGACAUGCGCGCGCGCGCACGAGGUGAGCAUCUACCACCUAUGCAGGCUAUCUCAUGAACGGAUACGAUGCAGCAGGAAGCGCACGAUUACCGGACUCACUCCGAUGCAUUCCCGGCGCUGCAUGUGCGGCAGCUGUGCUAGGAGAUGCGCCGCGGUUUCCAUCCCGGUCGCGCAAUCUCCCGUCGGCCCGAUUUCGAGAAGCGGCAGAAUGAGACGGCGCUAAUUAUAGGUGCGUCGCUUUUUCCGCGCGCGUCUCUCACGAUAAACGCACAGCUCUGUACCGAUGGCCGCUGAUACAUCCAGUUCGAUACGGCAAUUUACGACAAAAAAAAUGAAUAUUUUCUACCCAAAAGAUUAAAACAUUUUCGUUGAAAGAGCUUCGAGACUCUCGAAACGUCGAUGGUUCUCAAAUUACAAUCAAAUGGGAAAGUUUUCGCCGCUUUGUUGUCGAUAAUUAGCUUUUUUCCAAUUAGUAUACAUUUGUAUUAAUCGCAUAUUCAUCUUACAGACAGCGGGGCUUCAGAAUCCACGAUCCAGAGAUCGUUAUUCGAAAUUCGAAGUUGUAGAUCCAAGAUCGAAGCUUCAAGCUCUGCAAGAUCGUGUAGAAGCGUUGCGCGUCAACUUAUUUGUUCGCGGCGAUAAGGAUAAAAAGAGGCGAGUCAUACACCUACCGUCGGCGCGGCAAAAAGAUGGCUGUUCACGGAUAUUAUCGCGGCGAUCGUUAUUCAGAACGGCGGCACGACAACGGCGACAUGCCUGCUGCAUAAUUUUGCGGCGUGGUUGUUGACGAGAAACGACGUUCCCUUGACCCGGGGAAUAAAUAAACUGAGGAAACCGCGCAGCGCCACGGUGUGCUCUCACGGGAAUACUUGCCGAUACUUUUCAUUGAGAAUCCCCGGAGCACGCCGAGCCGGCUUUAACACCGCAUCAUCGAUGAGACCGCUCAAUUAGUGGCGGAAACACUGGCUCUCAUCGCUGACGUCGCAAGGUGAUUAGCUCGACCUCACGCAUCCCGUGACUUCCUACAUUUCGUUACGUUCCUGGUAUAUUCGUGUUCGAUGACAUCCAUUUUGGAUUUCCCACGCGCUUGCUUUUAUGACAAAAGGUACAAUUUGAACUAAAAAGAUAUUGGUAUGCGCUCGAUUUUUGUCGUGAUUCUUAGAACUUGAUUAGCCGUCGCUAAAGCAAAGCUAUUUUUUUUAACACUCCCAUCGCUCAUGUAUGCACGUGUGCAUGUGUGGAUUAUUUGUUCUAAAAACAGAUAUUUCUUCUAUCGCAUCAUCUAUCUUUCGCUCGUAUUGUUCAGCGAAGAAAAAUUUUGAUGAUGUUAUCGUGAUGCACGCAGGUGCUUGGAGCUAAUAGCGAAAGGCAACUUUGAGUUGUUGGCUGAGCAUCACGUGUUACACAAGCCUAUCGUCAAGAAUCCGAUUUGCGUGAAUCACCAAAGGAAAUGACUCGGCCAGAUUGCCCGCCCAGGUAUUGGUUCCGUUCGCCUGUACUCAUCUUGCACUCGAGCGGAUUGUCUGCAAUCGUCUACGCAGUUAAGAGAAACGCCUUAUCGUCGGCGUACGCGAUGAUAAGUCGCGGUCUUAUUGUUAUCAAUGCGCUCUCGGUUCAGGCGCACCGAAAAGAUUUACCGAGAUAACCGACGUUUGAUUGGCCAAGUUUGAUUAUCGACGUCCGGCAUCGUCUUCUUGAGUCACUUCCACGUAUCUGAUAAGGGAGUUUAUCACUCGCAAGAGCCAAUCGUGAGAAAUUGGUCUCUGCGCGUUGAAUAUUGUAUCUUCAUCCACGAUCUAGAAAUAAGUUUCACACGCGUCGAAUGUGUGAAUGAGCAUGAAAUUAUAUAAUCCGUGCGAAGAGAGACUUCUUUUCGUCAAAAAUUCUCUUUUUUGUUUUAUUAUUCAAAUAUGCUUAUAAUAAUACAUAAUAUAAUAAUAUAAUUUGCUCAUAUCAAUAGAAAGAACGCGAUAAACGAUACAGUUCCAAUUACUUUGAUAUUAUUUAGGAAAGAUGCGUACAAAUCAAUGUCAGUUAAAGUUAAAGAGGUAAAUCCUUUUUUUAUAUCUUCAUACGCACAAAAGUGGAAUAAAAUAUCCCAUACGAUAAAUUAUUUAUCUCUUUAAUUUGAGAGAAAAAUCGAGUAGAUAAAAAUGAGAUAUAUCUGAAGAAAAUUAAUGUGAGAAAAGCGUUAUUUCUGAAGCUCCCGGCUUGUACAAUUUUAUUUUCCCACGGGAAUAGAUUUUUCCGAGAAAAGGAAGGUGCAGUCAUCUACUGGCUCGGAACAUACGAUGCGUGAUUACACCGAACCGCCGUUUAAUCCAGGGAUUCGCUUAUUUAUGACCACGGAUGUACACGUCAAGAUAAGAUCCGCACUUUAGGAAAACCGAGCGUCUCCUCUCAUUCCGGACUAUUUAAUCCAAUGAUUUGAUGAUUGAUAGCCGCUCGGAAACCGAGCCGGUAAACUGUCGCGCAGCUGCGACGUGAAUCGCGCGAGCAGUUGACAAUGAUUCCGCGCGUCCACCCCGCUGCCCUCAAUUGUUUCAUAGACCGCUCGUUUCCUCGGGCGAAUGCUGAGGCGGAGCUCGUCGACGUCGCCUGAAAAUUCUACGAAGCGUGUCGCCGCUAUUCCGGUCGCAAAAGUCUUUCUCUCUCUCUUUUACUUCUUCUAUCGAGCGGUCACGUCUCUUUUUUUUUUUUAUUUAACUCGUAGCGCCGGACACCGGGUGAGUUCUUGUGUCUCCGACCGGUAACAAGACUCCGCACGAAGUCACGGAAUGCGUAUGUGCGCGAGCAUACGUGUACAUACGUGCACACGUAAUGAGCCGACCGAGACGGAAGAUACAAAAAUACGAUAAUAAUCGCGACGACGCCGUCGCCUCGGGCGGAGUACUCGCUAGAGAGAUUAAGCUGUCUGACACGAAUUUUUGUACCGCGGUCCACAAAAAAAGCGAACGGAUAUACGCGGCAUGGCUCUUUAGAAUUGUCACAAAGAACGGCAGUCGGGUCAAUGAUUUAAAGAAAAAAAGCCCUUUUCAAAAUGACUGAUUCAAGAUUCGGUAGAAUCACGACGCCGCUUUGCGCGGAAUAAUAUCGCUCGCUCGCCGCCUCGAAUGAUUUUUACGCAACGGACCGAAUGAAGAAAAAGCGAUCAGCCGUUUUAGAAAGUGCAUCAUCCCAAAGUUCGUAUUAUUCUGCGGAAAAUAGCAACUUUCCAUUCGAAAAUCGAGACGGGCGCGCCCGCGAUGCACGAUGAUUUCAGUGUAAUUGCAAUCUCGAAGCGUCUGUAAACAAGGGCGCCUGGGAUUUAUUCGCGCAACGUUUGCCGCUACAGAAAAUUGCAGCCGGAAUCAUGGUGUACAGGUUAGCGAACGACCGUCGUCGUACGUCGAACGCUUAUAAUCAGACGCUUGGUGGUCGGCGGCAGCCUGUUACGGCGUCGGUGACGACGAUUUCGUAGUAGUAGUAGUAGCCAUCACGGCUAGUGGCUGGCGCCGCCGGACGUUCAACAAUGGUCGCGUCCCUCUUUCCCUUCGCCCCUUUUACACUCCCUGCGACGCCGCCAGUCUGCACUGCCACCGUGGCAGUCGUCAAACACCCCCGACUUCGAAUUGCCGCUUGCAAAUAUCACGCCGAGUCCGAGUCUUUUUGCUCAACGUAUCAAUUUUACUCUAUGAUUAUUUUCGUUAGCGAUUGUAAGAUGAUUGUAUCGAUUUUCAUUCAGUUGUUCUCUGCAUAUUUUUUUGGUAUAAAAAUAAUGCAGAAUAAUUUUACAACUACGUGUUAAAUUGAUCGGAAGCUCCUUCGGAUCGUUCGAUAAAAAUAAAUGUGAAAAUCCAGAGGAACUUUCUUAUCAAUGCGCUUUGAAUAAAAAGAUAACUUAUCGUCGAUGUGAAUCUCGUAAUAUAAGGUUCACCUUUGACCUAAAUAAACGGAAUCUAUCGCCAAUGUCGGACUUUACUGCGAUGAAAGAAGAGUUUUUGAAGCUACCUUUCUUCGGGUUCUCAUUCUUUCUCUUUUAUAACUUUGAAAUCCUAUUUUUAUAACAUGUGCAGCUGUGUCGAAAGUGAAGGAGAAUCUCUAAUGAAAUUCAAAUUAACGCAAUCUUACUGAAGGAUUUUAUAUUAAGGGGAUUCCAAAGUGGUCUGUUUUACCUAUUUCUUUCAAAUACACUAUACUUUUUUUUGGCUGUGUAGAAUGAAAAGUCCUUUUCUGUAAGUAAAGUACAUUUUCUAAUACACUACGGACGGUCGAUUUGAAAGGAUUUUUCAAGCCACGCAGCC